rnacentral:lncRNA from 1 species
GCAAUACCCCCAGGCAAGGCUGCACCAUCCCUGGCCCUUGAGGGGCCCAAGGAUCUUACAACCAGGAGCCCUGACUGGACUUCCUUGACCAGGCACACAGAUGCUGCCUGAGUCCUUAUGUGGCAGCCCCUCAGUGGGGUAUGGCUACCCCCCCCCACCCCCCGUGGCCUGGUACCUCCCACACAGGGCCCACCAGCUGUGUCUGCCUCUCCAGCCAGAUGUGCCAGUUUCCUGAAGCUGUAGAUGCCCCUCCCCAUCUGGCUGUGCUGGCUGCAGUCACACACCCCAACCCAAGUCCAGGCCAGCUGGGCUAAGACACAAGACCAGAGGAGUGGUCAGGGACUUGUGUUGCCAGGGCAUUUCAUGCCCUCAAACCCUCCCCCACAAGCCAGGCUGGUGGGGGCAGGCCAGGUGCCAGGGACACCUGCGGAGGCUGCUCACCACCGGCAGAGCCUUCUACUCCUGAGAGGUACCCUGCCUCACCAUCACAGAACCACCAGCUAGCUCCCUACCCUGCCCCAGCAUCUCCCGGGAGGCCCCAGGAUGAAACCUGGGUGUCCAUCUGCAGCCCCUACUCCCACCUCAAUUCUUCCGUCCCCAGAAAGCAGUGGGUGGACCCAGAAUGAGCACAGGGGGCACAGGCUCAUGACCUACAGCCUCCUCCUUUUAGGGAGAGAGUAUCUGUGCCAGCCUCCUCUCAACUCAGGCCACUCGUCCUUCCCAAGAAACAGGCCCAGAGAGGGCGGGGGACGGGUCCAAGGUCACACAGGAGUUUGGACCAGAGCUGCAGUCGUCCUCCCCCCAUCCCGCUUGGCCCAGGAGCCCCGAAUCCCCUGGCAGGGCGGCUCCAGCGCCCACGUGGCCCAAGGCCCAGGCGGGAAUCCGACCUCCUCCCUCCCCCCAUCACCCAGUCCGAGGGCGGCGCCGUCCCCGGCCCAGAGAAGCGCCCCCCUCCGCCCGUGCCUAGCAGGACCUCAGCCUCUCGCGCCCCGGCCCCAACCCCAGGAAUUUAACCCCUUCCCAGCCCAGGGCCGCGUCAGAGCUCCGCAUUCCCAGCCGGCAGGGACCCAGAGAAGGGGUAGGGGAGAGCCGGCGAGGGCUAAGAUCCCUCACACCCCUCCACGCCGAGACGACCGGCUGUUCGCUCGAGAGGGCAGAGCGGGCAGGUGGGCGGAUAAGUGGGGGGACAGGCAGGGCCUU